rnacentral:rRNA from 1 species
CAGCCGCGGUAAUACGUAGGUGGCGAGCGUUGUCCGGAUUUAUUGGGUUUAAAGGGUGCGUAGGCGUCCCUUCAAGUUUUAGGUGAAAUGCCCAAGCUCAACUUGGGAGCUGCCUGAAAAACUGCAGGGAUUGAGUACAGAUGAGGUAGGCGGAAUUGACGGUGUAGCGGUGAAAUGCAUAGAUAUCGUCAAGAACACCGAUAGCGAAGGCAGCUUACUAGGCUGUAACUGACGCUGAUGCACGAAAGUGUGGGGAUCAAACA